rnacentral:antisense_RNA from 1 species
GGAAGGUUCUGGAUUGCAGGGAGAAAGACAAUUAAUAAGUGAUUACUAUUUAAAGACCAAAUCCCUGUCAAAACAGCUUGACCAAAAAAAAUGUGGGUUUUUUUUUUGUUGUUGUUGUUGUUGUUUUAACUCACAACUUGCAGUAGUGCUGCCAGCAAAAAUAGUGGGUGGUAAUUCUGCCAGCUAAAAGGGUGCCGAAAUGCAGUUGGGUGAGAAGAACAACUCUGUCCCCUCCUCCAUUCCCUUUCAGCAGUGACUGAGUGGGCUACCUCCCAGGCCUGUUCCUGCAGUGCCCCUUGGUUCUUCAUGAGACUAUUCAGGGUGUUUUUCUGGGCAAGUAACUCCAAAGGCAAGCAUCAGAGCAGCUCAAAGACUUAAGAACAUGUCACACAGGACUGGGAGGAAUGGAAGGUGGCACAUCAGAAUAACAAUAGCUCUUGACAAACGGAUGCACAGCCAUUCCCAUAAACAGGAAUUUCCCUGUAGGAAAACUUCCUCCCCUGGGAUCUUCAAUUUGAUGAAAGCAAUUACAGGACAAAGAGGCUGAUUUCCCCCACAUCUGCUGAGGUGAAGCCAGUGCUAAGGUUUCACUUAUACUGAAGAAAUUCUUGGCUUCCGCCAGAACAGAACACCCUGAAAUAUGAAGCUAAUCUCAUCAGAGGGACAGGCACCUUACCAAGAUGAAAACUCCUUAAGAUUUAUUCGCCCAGCCUUAAAGCUUAGACAACUUAUUAAGAGUUACAACAGUUUUGUCAAAAAAUGACGGCCUUCAGUGCUUCACAGAAGCCAUAAAAAAAACAAAGUUCAGUACCGAUGUGUUUUCAUUAACUGAAAAUAUCAGUGACCAACAAAUACAAAGUUUCAUUAGAAAUCAUCAAGAAAAACCAGGCUUGGGAAGAUAAAUUCCUUGAUGCCCAUGUUUUAAAAAUGAUCCUGUCUGUGGAUUAAACUGCAAGUCAUUUGGGCCAUUGCUCAGCCGAAAAAGCAAAUGUUUCAGAGUAGAAGGCCACUCUCCUCCAGCCUCAAUGAAACCGCAUGCUACCUUCUGGCUACAGACCCAGGUGGC